CUCGCUUUGCCUGACUUGGAGGGUGAGGCAAUAAAAAAAGGGCCGCAGGCUCUUCUCCGACCCCGUACCAGCGGCGGCGGCCGAACCUCCCCUUGAAACCCUCCGACGACCGGAUCGACUCCGCUCCGCUCAAAUGGAGCCGCUGCCUAUCCCUCAUCCUCCAGCACCGCCUCCUGCUCUCACGUCCGCCCUCGCCCACCUACGCUCCCUUCUCUCCGCCGCAUCCUCUGCCCUCGCCGCUCUACCCUCUCCUCUCCAACCGCACCCGAUCACUCCCAUCGCUUGUAUCCCUUCACCUCAGUCUACCACCACAAAACCUCCACUCCCGCCGCCGGUCACCGCUAUCAACCUCCCGCUCCCAGCUGCCCCAGCUCCCUACUCCGACUGCCCUGCCGUCGUCCGUUUAAGGCCUUCCCCAACCUCCACGGCCAUCUCCCUCCCCGCCUUCCUCGCUGCCGUAUGCGCAGAUUUCUCCUCUUCCACUACCGGCCCGAGCCCCUCCCAUCCGCCCCGCAUCCUGCCAUCGGAGCUAAGCCUCCUGCGCCGGGAGUUGGACUCCUGGGCUACGGGAGGCCACCACCUCCCGGGGUCGUACUCCUACGCUGUAGCCCGGGUAGGGGCCUCGUUCUGCUCGGAUGUGAUGCCACGGUGGGAGGCCGAGCUGCGGCAGUGGGUGCUUGAGAACUCACCGAGGUACGGGGUCAAGGUCAAUGUCACGGAUGCGGACCAUAUCUUGGUGCUAUUAUGUCUCUUGUUGAAGGCGAUGGCACUGGAGGCCAGGUACUUGCUGGAGGGGAUGCAGAAUGUCGACAACGAGGGGCUAGGCUUUGAUCCCAGGGCCAUGAGGUUUGAGUGCCCUAGGCUGGUCGAGGGCGUCUCGUGGUUAGGCGCACAGCUUGGGGUUCUGUAUGGUGAAAGCAAUGGGAAACUAUUUAUGCUUGCAUCUGUGAAGGAGGCUGUGCUACAGAUGGCAUAUUGCUUGGCUCUCUGUGCAGGAGAUGGUGCUGCAAGUGUAGGAGGGAGUGAUGCUGGAGAUGUUGUGGCAGGCCCUGUUUUUCUUUCUCAGGUUGCUGCUUCCAUUGUGGCAUUGCAUGAGAGGUUCUACUUGGAGAAGACCAAGGCGUUGCAAGCUCAACGCCCGUCAAAAUAUCAGCUAUUACUUGAGUAUUCACAAGCACUGGAACGAGGGAUUUUGGAGCGAUCAAACAGACCAAACUACAGGGCUGUUCUGGAGUAUGAUGGGAUUCUGUCACGGCGAGUAGAGAACAAGGAAUCUGCUAGAGCCAAGACAAAGGAGGAACUUUUAGCUGAAGAACGUGAUUACAAACGGAGAAGAACAUCUUACCGUGGCAAGAAAGUGAAUAGAAACCCUACAGAGAUACUAAGAGACAUAAUUGAUGAACAUAUGGAGGAAAUCAGACAGGCAGGUGGCAUUGGUUGUCUUGUGGAAGCUCCUGCUGAUAUUGCUUGGAAUGAGCUGAAGGGCAACUCUCACAGCGGUGCAUAUCAUGGAAGUUAUGAUUUUGCAAGCAGCUCUUCUCAUGAUAAGACAGCUUUGGCUUCUCGGUCAUCUAACUGUGACAACUCAUGUGCUGAAUCUUUGGGAAGAUUUUCAUCAAGGAGCAGUGACACAAGAGAUUCAUACAAUAACUCAGGGUGCGAAACUCAUAGAAACCAUUACCAGUAUAUAUCUGAGAAGGAAAUGGGUGGAAUAUAGGGUCAGAAGGUGAAGUAGAUCAAAUUUACUCUUACCCGCAAGAGAAUUACACACCCAAUGGCUAUAAGUUUAAGAAGGAUGUCUCAAACCACCGUGAUGAAUCAAAUGAUUGUACAUGGCCAAUACAGUCACAAAGAUCCCCUGUGACAGAAUAUUCUCACUUGCCAGGAGAAGGGUGCUUUGAUAGAAGUAGAGCUAGUCAGAACUCAGAAGUGACAUAAAUCAUUAUCUAUAACUCAAGAUUAAUUCAGUGAUAGAUAUGAUCCCCAAAGCGCAUAUUCUGAUGGAGAUCAUCCGACAACCAUGCUUGGUGAUGCUACUAAAGGAAAGCAUGAGAUAUACCAUGAUGAAGUACAUUGACAUGCACAUUAUGAAAGGAAGCGUGAUUAUAAUCACUGCAGGGCAAUACAGAUUAUUGUUGCUUCAUAUCCAGUAGCUAAAUAAUAAGGGCUCUGUGGUAUUAGCCUUCCGCCGUAUCCUUUUACGUAUCCUUAUUCAGCUUUAUGAUGUCCUUGCAUUCGGAGUUAAUACCUGUUACAGUUGGAUCUGUUAGGUUAAUUUUUUUUUCUUGCUAUACCAAUUCAUUUACAAUGAUCCAGGUUCUUGCUGUGCUGAUAUUUUAGCCAUUUCACCGUUAAUGUUUUGGAAACACUUUCAGCUAGCAUUCAAGUUUUUUUAAAAAUAAUUUAUUCUUGAUUUUUACUCAGUACGAACUGACAGAAAUUUCAGCGGUCUGUUCGCUUCAAUCGAUCACAUUGAGUUCUUUUUUCUGCAGUUCUACUUUUUUUAUUUGUGCAAUUUUACCCUCAUGUGUUGGCCUGCUUUGUCACUCGGCGUGUAUCACCACAUGUCCACACCCUCGCACACACUCUGGAUGUUGAAGCGUAGAUAUUUGGACUGGACCGGACUGGCAGCUGGACCGGUGAAAGACUGAAUUAGAAACGCUUGCUUCACUUAAAAGACUGUUCGUGCAAUUGAACCCUAGAGCGUCUCCAAUAGUUUUUUUUCUUCUAAAUUUCGCUCUAAACUAUCAUUUAGAGUCAUUUGUAUAAAAACCACUUUUUAUAUCUUCUCAAUAUCCAAUAGCCUUUCUAUAGGUUGUUUGCCCUCUAGAGAGUCAUUUACAUUUUCUAUAUUUGGCUAGCGAGAAACCCGGAAUAGAAUAUGACUAUAAUUGAUAGCCAUUUAGAUAAAUUGUUGAAGGGUAUUUUUUUUAAAAUCUCUAUUUAUAUAGAUUAAGAAGAAUAUAGAGAGCCUUUUGGAGUUGCUCAAGCUUGUUUGAGAGCAAAGGGAUUGGAGAUUAGUCCCUUCAUGGCUUAUUCGGUUAUUGGUGAAUUGAGUGGGAUUGGAGUGGAUUAAAUCCUCUCCUAUACAAAUUUAAAUAUGAGGAGAUUUAAUCCUCUCAAUCCAUCUCAAACCGAACAUGCCCUUAGGGUUGAUUUGGUGACCAGGGAAAUUGAGAUUUAUGGUGGAGAAAUUCACUUGCUAGUCAAUUUUGAAUAAGAAGGGUAUUCCUUCUCCAUGAAACCACUUUUAUUUCCCUGGUCAUCAAACUAGCUCUCAAUCUCCAAUCCUCUUGCUUCCAAAUAUGUCCUAAUAGCUUAUUUGGGAGCAAGAAUACCGGAGGGGUUAAAUCCUUUUGCUAUUCAAAAUUUAGUCCCUCAAAUCCUUUUGCUAUUCAAGUUAGGAAAUCCAAAUUUCCUUCGAAAUUGAAGUGGAAUGGGUGGGAAAUUAGUUUAUUUUUCUCUCAAUCCUUUAUAAUUUUAAGUGAAUUAGAGUUUCUAAACUAGCCUUAAAAACCUGUCACGUCCCAGGAAAAAAAUGGUGGCAGUUGACUGCAUAGAAGCGGCCCUACAGUCUGCUUUGAUUGGCGACACAUGCUUAGACUAUCCGCAACCGUUCCCCCUAAAUUUUUCUCCCUAAAUGUUACUAUGCAGCCACGUCAGCAAGAUUCUCUGCCCUAUAUUCACUCGUCCCGCAACCGUUCCCCCUAAAUUUUCCCCUAUAUAUCCCUCUACUCAUUAAAUAUACAUUUCCAUAUAACUAACAUAACCAACUUUAUUUUGUAUUUAUUUUAUAUGUUUUCAUACGUCCGGCAUUGUGCGCUCGUUUUAUAAAAAUGAAAAAAAUAUUUUUAUUUGUUUGUUUUCAAUAACGGAAAAUAUGUAAUACAACAUUUCAGUUUAAAAUUAAUUUCGUAAUGGAAAACUUUACUUCUCAAUAGUACUCCGUCAUAACAAUUUUACAAAUAUUUGUACGCAAUAUGAUUUAACCACGCUUAUGGUUCAAUCAUACUCGUUCAGUCGUACACAGCAAGCCAUGCUUGUCUUCGACCGAAAGCCACGUUUCACUUAUGUUGUAAGCCAAGGCUGGCUUCCGAUGUAAGCCAUUGCUUCUCCCUGAAGCCAAAUUUCUCUCGUCUAUAUAUAUGCAAUGUUUCUCUUCAAAUAUGUACUUACAUAUACCACUUGUUCCACAAGUAAGCCGUUGCUCCAAAUAUCUCCCAGUCGUAGGGAACAUGAUUCCGAUUCAAGUGAUAGUGACGACGAAACACUUCUGCUUGUCAAUCUUCUUACCCUCAACAUUGAGGCUAGACGCCUUCAUCGACGAUGGUCCGGAUUAUCUCGUCGCGUCAUUCGCAGGGAUCAUUUUGCUGGAGAAAACCUUAUCCACCAUCACUACUUCGGGCCCAACCCGGUGUAUCCAUCGCAUGUGUUUCGUAGAAGGUUUCGCAUGAGUAGGCCUCUGUUUCUCCGCAUUUUGCAAGGACUUCAACAGUAGGAUACUUACUUUACACAAAGGGUUGACGCAACAUGCAUGCCAGGACUCGGUCCCCUACAAAAAGUAUGUGCGGCAAUGCGCAUACUUGCAUAUGGGUUACCUUCUGAUGCGGUAGACGAGUACGUUCAAAUCGGGGAGUCUACAGCUAGGGAAAGUCUUCAUCAUUUUUGUCGCGCAAUCAUAGCAUAUUUUAGUGCCUGGUAUCUACGGACUCCUAAUGAAGCUGACAUAACAUGUAUCAUGCACAGUAGCGAGUCAAGGGGUUUUCCUGGAAUGUUGAGUUCCAUAGAUUGCAUGCAUUGGGAGUGGCAGAACUGUCCUAUAUCCUGGCAUGGUCAGUUUUGUGGUAGAAAUGGUAGAGCGUCCAUGAUACUAGAGGUGGUAGCAACUUAUGAUCUAUGGAUUUGGCAUGCAUUUUUUGGCAUGCCAGGGACAAACAAUGA